UACAGAGCAACUUGUCAUCAGGAAGGUGCUCUCUCAGCACAACGGAAAAUAUCUCAAUGACUUGACAUGUUCUGGUUGUGAAUUCAGGCUACAAGGCGUCAGUGCUCGGAAAUGAGUCUCUCUGGGGAGAGAGAGGAGGGGGUCCCUGCCUCUAAAAUGAGUCACUCUGGGGAACAUGAUUCCAAAGCUAAGAGCUCAAUCAAGCAGGAGAGACCAGCCUCCCCUGUACCCAGCUGUGUGUCUAUGAAGAGUGAUGAGUCUAUGGAUCCUCCUAUAAUGUUUAGAGAGGGAGACGUUUCUACUGAACAAAGAAACCAACAGGAGAGAUCAGAGUCAGAGAUUCUCAG